ACGAACGCUGGCGGCGUGCUUCACACAUGCAAGUCGCACGGAAAGGCCCUGCUUUUGUGGGGUGCUCGAGUGGCGAACGGGUGAGUAACACGUGAGUAACCUGCCCUUGACUUUGGGAUAACUUCAGGAAACUGGGGCUAAUACCGGAUAGGAGCUCCUGCUGCAUGGUGGGGGUUGGAAAGUUUCGGCGGUUGGGGGUGGACUCGCGGCUUAUCAGCUUGUUGGUGGGGUAGUGGCUUACCAAGGCUUUGACGGGUAGCCGGCCUGAGAGGGUGACCGGCCACAUUGGGACUGAGAUACGGCCCAGACUCCUACGGGAGGCAGCAGUGGGGAAUAUUGCACAAUGGGCGGAAGCCUGAUGCAGCAACGCCGCGUGCGGGAUGACGGCCUUCGGGUUGUAAACCGCUUUCGCCUGUGACGAAGCGUGAGUGACGGUAAUGGGUAAAGAAGCACCGGCUAACUACGUG
rnacentral:rRNA from 1 species